rnacentral:rRNA from 1 species
GAUGAACGCUGGCGGCGUGCUUAACACAUGCAAGUCGAACGAUGAUCCCAGCUUGCUGGGGGAUUAGUGGCGAACGGGUGAGUAACACGUGAGUAACCUGCCCUUGACUCUGGGAUAAGCCUGGGAAACUGGGUCUAAUACCGGAUAUGACUCCUCAUCGCAUGGUGGGGGGUGGAAAGCUUUUGUGGUUUUGGAUGGACUCGCGGCCUAUCAGCUUGUUGGUGGGGUAAUGGCCUACCAAGGCGACGACGGGUAGCCGGCCUGAGAGGGUGACCGGCCACACUGGGACUGUGACACGGCCCAGACUCCUACGGGAGGCAGCAGUGGGGAAUAUUGCACAAUGGGCGAAAGCCUGAUGCAGCGACGCCGCGUGAGGGAUGACGGCCUUCGGGUUGUAAACCUCUGUCAGUAGGGAAGAAGCCGUGAGGUGACGGUACCUGCAGAAGAAGCGCCGGCUAACUACGUGCCAGCAGCCGCCGUAAUAC